AGUGAACGCUGGCGGUAGGCCUAACACAUGCAAGUCGAACGGCAGCACAGUAAGAGCUUGCUCUUACGGGUGGCGAGUGGCGGACGGGUGAGGAAUACAUCGGAAUCUACUUUUUCGUGGGGGAUAACGUAGGGAAACUUACGCUAAUACCGCAUACGACCUACGGGUGAAAGCAGGGGAUCUUCGGACCUUGCGCGAUUGAAUGAGCCGAUGUCGGAUUAGCUAGUUGGCGGGGUAAAGGCCCACCAAGGCGACGAUCCGUAGCUGGUCUGAGAGGAUGAUUGGCCACAAUGGAACUGAGACACGGUUCAGACUCCUAAGGGAGGCAGGAGUGGGGAAUAUUGGGCAAUGGGCGGAAGCCUGAUUCAGCCACACCGCGUGGGUGAAGAAGGGCUUCGGGUUGUAAAGCCCUUUUGUUGGGAAAGAAAAGCAGCAGGUUAAUACCCCGCUGUUCUGACGGUACCCAAAGAAUAAGCACCGGCUAACUUCGUG
rnacentral:rRNA from 1 species